CCAUUUAUUCCUACAUUUUGUACAUUUCAUACAUGGACCUGCAUCUACCCAAAAUUUUUUCUAUAAUCCAUUCAAUCAGCAACAUGCUUCCUGUACAUUCGACUCUUGUUCAUGUUUUACCUACUCCAAAAAUUUACAACAUAAUAGGCUACUUUGCCCAGUAAGUGAAAUCUGCACCACACAUCAAAAGAACAGAAAAUUUUUGCAACCAAAAUUUUAUGGUAUCAGCCGGUAUUCCUACCCAAUAUGCUCAUCCGAGUUUCACCCAGCAUGGCCUACAUUUUCUUCUUUUUUUUUUUUUUUUUUGUGACUCCUUUAUCUGCCCGUCAUACCCAUCUAGUAUUCCAUCCAGGAUUCCCUAAUAGUUUAUUUAGAGCUACCGCAAAUCUGUCUCUAUUGGUUCCCUCUACCUCCCUUUAAUUUUCUUCAACUCUCCCUCUGGGAUUCUGGUAUCGGUUCCAGAUUUUCUUCUGCUAUUUAGAUACCCACACAGAUUUUUCUGUUCUUCCUGCACCCUUGGUUAGAUCACUGAAUUCCUGUUUCUAUUCUUAUAUAUAUAUAUAUAUAUAUAUAUAUUAUUCUUUUUUUUUACCCAGUGUAGCCCAACUUCGCUUAAUCCUCCCAGUAAAUAUAAGACAUAUUAUUCUCAUUUUUUUAAUUCAUAGCAGCCCAAAUUUGUUUCAUCCUCCCAAUAUAUGUGUAUAUAUAUUAUUCCUUUUUACCCAGAACAGCCCCCUCAUGCUUCUCUGCACUACUUUACAGUUUACACUCCACUGUUCCAUACUAUCGGCUUCAUACACACUCUGGCUGCGAAUAGAACUUUCCAGCAUCUUGAUUUCAGAAACCAGAAACAUUAACAACCCACUCAUACUGGUAACAGAUACUUUAAAAUUUAAUUGAUAAUCACAUUAAUUCUGGAAAACAUGAAACAGUAGCACAUGCAUUUACCAGUUAAUAUUAUUCUCCAAGGCAUCAACCCCUCGACCUGUUAUUGGGCCAUAAAUGUCACAAUAAAUCGCUCCCUCUAUGGAGCACGACAAUUCACUGCCCUUUUUCAGAAACGGCCAGAAACCCGAUCACACACACACACGCUCAUCGUACAAAUAAUUUUUCUCUUUUCCUACCGAUAAAUGGAAGCUUACAGCAUUCAGUCCAUGUUCGAUCACAAAUCUAGUAUUUCACACAUACAACCUCUUUCCACUUAGUCGUCUAAUAAACCAGAUUUCUGUUCAUCAUUUUUCCCAACUCUCAUUUAUUUGAUUUCAUUCUCUAAUCAUACCCGUCGACCUUAACCCCCAAUUAUUUCCUCAAUUUCUACAUAUGUCAUUCAACCCUUACCCUUGCAUAUCUUGCUCAACCAAUGGAACCAGUAUCCCUCCAUUUCUUUCAUUCAAUCCUGAAAUCCCUAGUUCUGUUUCCGAUCUGCUCAUUAUUUUGAUUAAUCUCUCCCUUCUACUAACCCACCCUUGCUCGAUCUCUCUUCUGAUUUACUCUUACAGUAAGUGUCUUGUCCACCGAGCUUCCUCUUCACUCUUAAUUUCUAGCUCGUUUCAAACCAAUUAACAAUGUACCAUAACCAGAAUUUAGUAUGUAAAUUUCUAAAUCUAAGCUGUAGGGAGUGGAUUUACUUACCUUAUUGGUUGCAGUGAUGACAUUUGAUCAUAACAAGACUACCAACACCUUCACCUCUAUUCUCACCCUUCGAAUGUCACCUCCUCUAUUCCCUUCACCGUCAACCAAUCUGCACAACUAGAGUUUUUCUCCCUUCCUUUCUCUUUUCCUCGCGGCAAUGAUUUUCAAAUAGAUCAGGUUUUCUCUUUCUUUUUUUUUUUUUUUUUGAAGAAUGGCUACCUGUUAUAGUGGCAACUAUUAAAUCCAGGCCAUUGAAUGAGAUCAGAUCUAGCCGUCCAACCUUAACAUUCAUUCUACACAGUCUGAUCUGCCACGAGAUGCAGGGGUGGC
rnacentral:lncRNA from 1 species